rnacentral:pre_miRNA from 1 species
UGGACAAAUUAUUGUAUUCGACUGUAUUCACGGUGUGAAACAAGGGAUUACAAUUUUUUAAACGGAAAGUGAAUCAAUUAACAUAAUAGACUCCU